rnacentral:rRNA from 1 species
UACAGAGGUGGCAAGCGUUGUUCGGAAUUACUGGGCGUAAAGAGCUCGUAGGCGGGGGCGUGCGUCCGAGAAGAAAUCUCAAGGCUCAACCUUGGGGCUAUCUCGGAUACGGCGCUUCUUGAGGGUGAGAGAGGAAAGCGGAAUUCCAGGUGUAGCGGUGAAAUUCGUAGAUAUCGAGAGGAACACCGGUGGCGAAGGCGGCCUUCUGGACAGUGACUGACGCUGAGACGCGAAAGCGUGGGGAGCAAACAGG